GUUUCCGUGGUGUAGUCGGUUAUCACGUCUGUCUAACAGUUUAAUCUGUGAUCACAGACGGUCCCCAGUUCGAAUCUGGGCGGAAACA